rnacentral:rRNA from 1 species
UACGGAGGAUGCAAGCGUUAUCCGGAAUGAUUGGGCGUAAAGCGUCCGCAGGUGGCUGUGUAAGUCUGCUGUCAAAGAGCGGAGCUCAACUUCGUAAAGGCAGUGGAAACUACACGGCUAGAGUGCGUUCGGGGCAGAGGGAAUUCCUGGUGUAGCGGUGAAAUGCGUAGAGAUCAGGAAGAACACCGGUGGCGAAGGCGCUCUGCUAGGCCACAACUGACACUGAGGGACGAAAGCUAGGGGAGCGAACGGG